GUUUUGACGCACUAUUUCCCCCUAGAAUUUCAGAAUUUUUCUUUUCCCUCAAAACCCUAACUAACCUUACCAUACUGCUUCCUCUUUGUUUACUCUUCUUCUCUUUCCAAGCUCGAACCGUCCGAGAAAAUCCAUGAACACAACUUCACCACUUCCAUCGUUCACCACUGAAAAUUCAAUAAACAAUAAACUUGUCUGGUGAUUUGGGAUUUUCUCUUAUUGAUUUUUCAGAGAUUUUGAAGAUGGAGAAAAAGAUGAUAUAUCGAUUUAUCUUUUUUCCUAUAUUCGUAGACUGAUUUCCGGGGGAGAAAGCAGGAUAGGUUCAAUAACAUGAGGAGAGGGAAACAAGAAGCAGACAGCUGUCCCCAGUCGAGUUCGCCAGGGUUUAUGAAAUUCCUAAACAGAUUAUCCCAGAAUGAAGGAAACAGGAAAGGGACCACCUUCUGCGGAAGAAGAGGACCUGAAGUCGUUAGUGCUCCGUGACAAGGAUGAUAAAUUGACUUCCGAGUUCGGUGAUGAUGAUGAAGUUGUUUCUUUUAUCAAAGCGUUGUUUGAUGCUGGAGUUCACCGUGAUGGAUGCAACUGCACAAGUUGCUCCAACAAUGUUGAGAACCAUCCGUAUUUUGAAACCCAUGGACUUCAAUAAUUGAUGUUUGUGUAUUUGUUUGAAUAGGGGAUUUGUAUGUUUUAACUUGAAUAUCGAGAGGAAGGAGAGAGCAUGG